GAAAUAUGAUUAAGUAAAAGCCGCUAACUUAUUACUUUAACGGUUAAAUUCCGUUUAUAUUUCU
rnacentral:tRNA from 1 species